ACUGGCACCUGUAUGGGAUGUCAGCCCUGCAGUCAGCAGCUUAACCCGCUGCACCACAGCGCCGGCUCCGAGACCACAGCGCUGGCUCCGAGACCGCAGCCCCAGCACCGAGACCACAGCGCCGGCACCGAGACCGCAGCGCCGGCACCGAGACCGCAGCGCCAGCUCCGAGACCAGAGCGCCGGCUCCGAGACCAGAGCGCCGGCUCCGAGACCGCAGCGCCGGCUCCGAGACCGCAGCACCAACUCCGAGACCGCAGCGCCGGCUCCGAGACCGCAGCCCCGGCACCGAGACCGCAGCGCCAGCUCCGAGACCAGAGCGCCGGCUCCGAGACCGCAGCGCCGGCUCCGAGACCGCAGCACCAACUCCGAGACCACAGCCCCGGCACCGAGACCGCAGCACCAACUCCGAGACCGCAGCCCCGGCACCGAGACCGCAGCGCCGGUUCUUUCUUCACAGGAGGUGGCCAGCCCCCCUGGGCUGGAAGCCACGCCACCCCUGUGGCCUCAUUCCACCUGCUGCAGUGCCGUCGCCGGGACUGUUUGCAGCCGCAGGGUUUGUCAGAGCAGAGAAGGGGCACCUGUCGCAGUGCGGCCCCCAGGCGAGGGAACAGCCUGCUCCGGCGGCUUGAUCUGGAAGGGGUCCCGGAAGAGCCCAAGCGGAAAUGAACAAAAUCGAAGAUAUGGCAGCAGUGGCCAGGAAGCCAGGAGCCCAGAAUUCCAUCCAGGUCUCCCACGCCGGUGCCGGGGCCCAAGCACUCGGGCCAUCUUCUGCUGCUUUCCCAGGCCACAGCAGGGAGCUGGAUCAGAAGUGGAGCAGCCAGAGCUUGAACCGGCGCCCAUAUGGGAUGCUUGUGUCUCAGGCAGUGGCCUUACCCACUGUGUCACAGCAUCACCCGUGGAUAACACAUUUUUUAAUGUAAGUGAAUAAACAAUAUAAUUCUCCAUCCUAAUCCUAUAAUAUUCUGGGUAUUGGGUUUCAGAAUCUAAAACUUUUAAUAUAGUUUUUACAACUGGACUUCAAUACAUUUUAAAAAAACUAAGCUGAAUGACGAGUGGAGAAAGCGAUGGCUAGAUGGGCGAUCAACAAAGCAGCCUAAUAAAUGCUAAUUAAUGAUACAACCUGAGGCCACGGGUUCAUGCUUUUUUGUGUCUUUGAAAAUUUUCACAUUCAAGGGCAAACAUGUGGGGCCGGCACUGUGGCGUAGUGGGAAGCUGCCGCCUGCAUUGCAGGCAUCCCAUGUGGGGGCUGGUUCUAGUCCCGGCUGCUCCACUUCCGAUCCAGCUCUCUGCUAUGGCCUGGGAAAGCAGUAGGAAGAUGGCCCAAGUCCUUGUGGGAGACCUGGAAGAAGCUCCUGGCUCCUGGCUUCAGAUUGGUGCAGUUGCGACCAACUGGGGAGUGGACCAGCAGAUGGAAGACCUCUCUCUCUCUCUCGCUCUCUCACUCUCGCUCUCUCUCGCUCUCUCAAUCUUCUCUCUGUGCCUCUCCUUCUCUCUCUGUGUAACUCUGACUUUCAAAUAAAUAAAUAAAUCUUUAUUUUAAAAAAAGCAAGCACUGAACCUGUCUUGUGAAGCUGUGUCUUAAGGUGUGUCCGCGUAAUUACUCAGCUGAUGUCUAUCUGCUAAUGAGCUGAUGAUCAUAAAGUCUGGUUUUCAUCUCUGACUCAAACAGCACAUGAAAGGGAAAUGCAGACAUCCACCCAGCGGAACGAAGCCAGAUCCAAGCUUCCAUGUGAGCACAGUGCGCGUCCUGCUGACCGGGCUGCAGAGCUCCACGUCACUGGGGCUGGGCAGGGGCUGGCUGCACAGUGGGUACAGCUGGCUCAGGCCACCGUGCUGGCCCCAGAGUUGUGUCGGCCUCACGUGUCCACCUGAUGGCAGGGUUGGGGUGGGGGAAAAUCCCUCAGCAGGCGGGGUCCUUGGAGCAGCCAGCGUGAAAACUUUGUUUGAAAGGCAGAGUUACAGAGGGAGAGGGAGAGGGAGAGACAGAGGUCUUCCAUCUGUUGGUUCACUCCCCAAAUGACCACAAUGGCCAGGGCUACACCAGGCCAAGGCCAAGAGCCUGAAUCUCCAUUCGGGUCUCCCAUGUGGCUGGCAGGGGUCCGAGUACUUGAGCCGUCUUCUGCUGCGUUCCCGGGUGCAUUGGUGGGGAGCUGGGUGGGAGUGGAAUAGCCAAGACUCGAACUGGCAUCCAUACGGGAUGCUAGCAUUGCAGGUGGCGACUUAACCCCCUGCACCCCAAUGCCGGCCCCAGGAGGGCUGAUUCUAAGACAGCCACGGCUCAGCCCCACUCAUCCCCGCUGGCAUGAGUUCCCCCACGUGAGGGCUGGCACAGAGACUUCCGGGCGAAAAUGUGGCCAUGCCACUUCCUGCUAGGCCACGGGGGACGGCACUGCUGCUGCCAGAUACCCUUGCUGAUUUUUUCUGUUGCCUUCCUGGUUCCUGUGCUUGGAUGAAGUGAGCGACCCCACUCCCCACGUGGAGGCCACGUGACAAGGAACUGAGGUCUCCAGUCCAACAUGCUGGAGAGGCGCCAAGCCCACUGACACUACAGAGAGCUUACACGCUCAUCGGCACCCAGCCGUGCGCUCAGAGGAGACCUCAGCCCGCACCACAAUGCAGCCUGGAGAGAGACCCAGCGGAGCCGCAGAACUGAGAUGAUGAGAUGCAUGGGGGGGGGGGGCGGGGCCGGCGCUGUGGCGUAGUGGGUAAAGCUGCUGCCUGCAGUGCCCGCAUCCCGUAUGGGCACCUGUUCAAGUCCCGGCUGCUCCGCUUCCGACCCAGCUCUCUGCUGUGGCCUGGGAAAGAAGUACAAGAUGGCCCAGGUCCUUGGGCCCCUGCACCCACGUGGGAGACCCAGAAGAAGCUCCUGGCUCCUGGCUUCGGAUCGACUGGAACCAACACGAUAUGGGAUGCCGGCACUGCAGGCAGCAGCUUUACCCACUAGGCCGCAGCACCAGCGCUCCCAGACUUUUAAGUAAACGAAACUUUCUGAUUUUUAUGAGAAACCAGCCCAAGUUUAAAUACUAACAACUGCUCUAAAAAUGGAGAAACCAAUCUAUGGCUCAAAAACACUGUGUCUUUGGUUUACCUGUGCUGCGGGCGCUGAGAGCGGCCUUGCCCUGGGGACAGCAUCACCACGGCCCCCCCCCCCCCGGCCCCCUCCCUUGGGGUCAGGGCAGCCAUUUGCUAUGGUAAAAGCGUGCUCGUAUAUACAGCGCACGUGCCAGCCUCCCCUGCAGGCAGCAGUGGCCCAGAAGCCACCAAUGGACGUCCUUGGGUGGGUUGGUGGGUGGGGGGCUUUGAAGAGGAGCAGCUGGGAGCCACACCCGCUGGCCCUUGCUGCUUCCCUGUGCCUCAUUACAGGAAUGGAUACGGGUAGCACACUGUGCUGAUGGGGCUUCCCCGCACGGCUGCAGAUGCAAAACCCCAAGGUCAAGUGCACUGUGACCCAGCCUUGUCCCUUCCAGAAAGUGACCCUGAGGUGGGUGCCGAGGCCCAGCAAGCUAAGCCCCGCCCCUUUCGGAUGCCCGCAGCCUCUGUUGGAGUUCAAGUCCUGGCGACUCUGUUUCGGAUCCGGUGUCCUGCCGACGCAUCCUGGGGGGCGGCAAAGGAUGGAUGAGUGCUUGGGUCUCUGCCACUCGCGGGGAAACCCAGACGGAGCCUCUGAAAUUCUGGCUUUGGCUUGAAAUGAGGAAGGAGCCAGGGGAGGGGUGCUCCCUCUCUCCCUCUCUCUCCCUCUCUCUCUCUCUCUCCCUCUCUCUCUUUCUCUCUCUCUCUCUGCCUUUCAAGUAGAUGAAAUCUAUAAGCAACGUUUUAAAUCCUCACUUUGGUACAGUUGCUCGCUGCGGUUCUCUGUAGCAGCAGGGGUGGAGCAGCCCAGAUACUUCCUAUGCGGGGGGCUCGCCGUGGCUCCCGCACACCUGGGAGUGCACCUGCUGAGAGGAAAAGGAGGCAGGCGCUUGGCUCCAUGGUUAGGCUGUCACUCAGGACCCCCACACCCCAGAACCCGGGGCUGGGUGCAAAUCCUGCCUCUGCCGUGGAUCCAGCCUCCUGCCGAUGUGCACCCUGGGAGGCAGCAGGUGAUGACGGAGGACUUGGGCCCCUGCCACUCAUCUGGGAGACCCUGCACUGAGCUCCUGGCUCCCAGCUCUGGCGUGGUCUGGCCCAGCUGCUAAGGGCGUUUGGGGAGUGAGCUAGAGGAUAGGAUCUCCCCCCCUUUCCCCUCCCUCUUUCAAAUAAAUAAAAGAAUAAAACGAGAUUUAGAUUAUUAAAUGAAAAAAGCAAGAUGCAGAAAAGUAUGCAUAGUGUUCUACCUUUUGUGUUAAAAUGGGGAAAAUACCUGUAUAUGUUUGCAAUUUUUUCUAUAAAAAUAUCUAGUGGGUGGCCUAGUGCCGUGGGUUAAGCCACUGCUUGCCGUGCCAGCAUCCCAUACUGGAAGCUGCUCCACUUCCAAUCCAGCUUCGUGCUGGUGCACCUGGGAAGGCAGCAGAAGACGGCCCAAGCAUUUUGACCCCUGCCAGCCACGUUGGAGAGCACUGUGGAACUCCUGGCUCCUGGCCUUGGCCUGGCCCGGCUCUGGCUGUCGCAGCCAUCUGGGGGGGUGAACCAACGGAUGGAGGACCUCUCUCCCCACCAGCCCAGGGUCCCCACAAAGAAAGGACGGGGAGCUGUGGUGGACACACAGAGCUAGGAGGCUGCUGGGCACCGAGCGGUCAGGAGAGGUGUCCGCAGUGAACACAGAAACACAGCCAAGUGGACACGGCCAGGGGUUUUAUCUAGGAAAAAAAACUCUGCGGGGGACGUGCGAUUCUGUUGUCUUCUCGCUACCUCUGGAAACUUCUCUCGAGGAUUGUUUUACACUGGGCGAUGAGCCCCUGCCCCGCCCCCAGUUCCUUUGCACCUGCCGUGAAGGGAUCUGGAGACGGCUUCAGGAGGGGAUCAGAGGGAGAAGAGGUGGCCAGCGUGGGCCGAGGGAUGGCCGACCGCCAGCCAGGGAGGGCUCCCAGCCAUCCUGAUCUCACAUUGCAGACUCCAGCACUGUGGUUCCUGGGGUUCAAGCCACCUGGCCCGGGCCAACAGCGGCCCUCGCAGACCAAUGCAGAGACCGCCCAGCCUGGCAGGUGCCCAGGGACUGAGCCAAUCAGAAUGGCCGGUCUCCCUCCCCCACGGCGCCUGGUGCAGGGGUGGACCCUGACUCGGCCCAGGGUGCUCAGAAGGGGCAUCCCUGAGUCCUGGGGUUUCUUCUGGACGGUUGGUGAGAGGCACCUGUCCCCACUGGAGCCGCUGAGGGCACUGGGUGCGAGCCCGGAGCCGCUGGGACCGUGCCUGCCGGAGAGAGGAGGCAACACAGACACCGCCCCGCUGGGAGCCCUCACCUGCUCUCCGCCUCCCAGCUGCACGAGCCGACGUGGACUUUUCCGUCGGGCUGGCUUGCGAAGGCCUCCGUCCUCGCAGCCUGUGGACUCUGCUCAGGCCCAGAGAGAACUCACGGAGCUGUUCUGGAAGUGGCCACGUGGCCUGGAUUUGCCCAGGACCUUGUGCCCAGCGGGGCAGGCUGGUCCUCCGGCCACACACUCACUCCCUCGCCCCAGAAACCCUCUCCUCCUCCUCGGACAGGCCCCCUCCUCUCCCCUUCCUCUUCCCGCCUGCAUUCCUAAGAGGCAGACUCGCGGGGCAGGGACAGCACGGCACAGGGCGUGGGAUUUGGAGUCGUGUCCCAGAGGUCGGAGACGUUGAUGUCAGGCAUCCCAGCUCUGGGUGUGGCCAGAUGACCUAACCUCGCUAUAAAACGGGGAUUAUAAUUCUCAUUUGUGAGGAAGCUUAACCAAGCCACGCAGCGUGCCUGGUGCAUAGAUAGGAAGCCCAUUAACACAGACACAGCUUUCAGUCGCUCCUCCUCUCCCCGGCACGUAGCUGACACCACGGCUGGCAGUGACCUUGGGGCAGCCCUCGGCCGUCUCCUCGGAAGGCUCCGCCAGUCACCUGCAGACUGUCAGCUGAUGAGACCAAAAGCCGCAAACGCGGCCCACCCAAUGGCAGGCCUGCCUGCGCAGCCCGGCUUUCAGACUGUAAAUACCACCACCGGCAAGGUUCAAAGGCAAGAAGCAGUUUUGGAAGCAAUGUGUUGCAUCCUAUUAAGGAUGCAAGAUGAAAGGCUGGCUCCAGAAUCCCACAUGGGCGCUGGUUCGAGUCCCGGCUGUUCCUCUUCUGAUCCGGCUCUCUGCUUUGGCCUGGGAAAGCAGUAGAAGAUGGACCAAGUCCUUGGGAUCCAGAGGAAGCUCUCGGCUCCCGGCUUCAGAUGGGCACAGCUCUGGCCUUUGCGGCCGUUUGGGGAGUGAACCGGUGGAUGGAAGACCUCUCUCUCUCUCUCUCUCUCUCUCUCUGUGUAACUCCACUUCUCAAAUAAAUAAAUAAAAUCUUUAAAAAAAAAAUAGUGCAAGAUCCAAAAAUAAUGAUUGGAUUUCAGCUGAUUUGUACACAUUCUGAUCUGUAAGAUAUUGAGUCUUACAAUCAGCAGAUAUUUUCUUCUUUUAAAAACAAUUUUUUAUUUAUUUUUAAUUUGAAAAUCAGAGCUCCAAAGAGAGAGAGAGAGAGAGAGAGAGAGAGAGAGAGAGAGAGGGAGAGACAGCAUGAGAGACAGGUCUUCCCGCACUGGUUCACUCCCCAGAUGACCAUAAUGACCAGUGUUGGGCCAGGCUGGAGCCAGGAGCUUCAACCGGGUCUCCCAUGUGGGUGACGGGGCCCUAAACACUUGGGCCAGCUUCCGUGGCUUUCCCAGGCACAUUAGCAGAGAGCAGGAUCAGAAGUGGAGCAGCCGGGACCCAUAUGGGAUGCCAGCACAGUAGACAGUGUCUUUACCCAUUACACCCCAGCACUAGCCCUGACCGUCCCCACCUUACAGAGUGAAGCCGAGGCACAGAGAGGCCUGCCCAGGUCACACAGCAGAACUCAGCGUGAACCGAGGCAGAGCCUGUGGCAUCCAGGACUGGGCGCGGCCGUGAGCUGUGAGCCUGUGGAGAGAUGCACAGCCAGCUUCCUGUCCAACGCGGCAGAUGCAGGAGCAUGGACCAGGGAAGCCGGUGACGGCGCCGUCCCCGAGGGCGCUCCGGCCAGCGGUCUGGUGCCUGCUCCCCUCCGCCCCGCUGCCGCCUCUUCCCCAGGAGUUCCUGUGUCUGGGUGACGCGCUGAUGACUUAGCUGAGAAAGUGACCGUGAGGGUGCCACAGAGCUGAAGCCCGAGUGACAGGAAGCUGGGGUGAGGAGGGACACCGGGGUGACAGGAAGUGCAGGGACACUAGGGUGACAGGAAGUGCAGGGACACUGGGGUGACAGGAAGUGCAGGGACACCAGGGUGGUGACAGGAAGUGCAGGGACACUGGGGUGGUGACAGGAAGUGCAGGGACACUAGGGUGGUGACAGGAAGUGCAGGGACACUGGAGUGACAGGAAGUGCAGGGACACUGGGGUGGUGACAGGAAGUGCAGGGACACCAGGGUGGUGACAGGAAGUGCAGGAACACCAGGGUGACAGGAAGUGCAGGGACACUGGGGUGACAGGAAGUGCAGGGACACUAGGGUGACAGGAAGUGCAGGGGACACUGGUGUGGUGACAGGAAGUGCAGGGGACACCAGGGUGGUGACAGGAAGUGCAGGGACACUAGGGUGGUGACAGGAAGUGCAGGGACACCAGGGUGGUGACAGGAAGUGCAGGGACACUAGGGUGAGUGACAGAAGCGCAGGGCUGCUGGGCUGGCUGUUUUAGACGCCUUAGACAUCAUGGCUGCUGGGGUGCACAUGGGCAUAGCAGAGAGAUCUCUCCCCCGACCCCCACCUUUCAAAUAAAAUAAAUAAAUAAGCAAUUUUUUUUUAAAAGCCAGGAUUGCUCCCGUCAGGUGAGCACCUGCUGUGCCAGUCUUUAUCUGGUCCAUGCUGUUAACCCUUGCAGCCCUGCUGGGGAGGACAGAGAGGCUUGGUGGGGCUGAAACACUCGUCCAGAGGCACAGGGCUGGGGCCGGGGCGGGGCAGAGGGAGCCCCUGCCAUCAGUGGGGCAGGGGUCCCAGCCCUGCAGGGAGAGGGCAAGGAGGGGGCAGCCCCCGGCCGUGCGUGAAAGCAACGUGAGCGGGUCACCCUUGUCUUCGGGGGGGAAGACAGAAGCAGCCUGUGGCCUGUCAAGGCCGGGGCAGGGAGGCCACGCCUGGCAUUCACCCGGCGCGAGCUUCGUGGACUCAGUGCCGGAUGUGCGGGCCCACGGGAGGCAGGCCGGCCCGGGCUGAGUUCUCCAGCCUCCACAGUGGACGGCCACAGGGACCAGCAGCCGCCUGGCAAGCAGGGUCGCCACCCUCGGGGGUGCGGGUGGGGGCGGGGGCAGGGCGGGGCUGCCCACAGUGCUUGAGCUUGGAAAGAGGGCGCCUCCCUUAGCGCCCAGCAACGGAGAGUGAGACGCCUCCUGUGCCGUCCCCGGCACCACCACGGUCCUGGCCAGCGCCCAGCCCCGCACAUGUGGCCGCUCAGCUGCUGUGCCUGGACAGCGGGACCCCACCCUCCUGCUCACAGGCAGCUGACAUCCAGAGGCCGGCUCCGCCCACUUCCUCACCGCGAUUCAGCAAAACCCGCACCGGAAGUGAGGGAGCGGCAUGGUGGCCAGGUGUGGACGGCCCAGCGCUGCAGGCUACGGAAGCAGCAGGCACAGAGGCCCGAGACAGCUGCGGAGGUGCGCGGCAGGGCGGGGCGCUGAAACCUCUGUGCAGGCCACUGUGCGUCAAUCAUUUAUAAUCCCGCCUUCGAGAAGUGAGGAGGAGGAGAUGCCCCGGAGAUGCGCACUCCCACGCCCCGUGGGCGGCUGGGCAGUGCCCCCCCCCCGCCCCAGGGCCCCUGCAGCUGCGCUGCGUCUGCGUGCUCGGCUGUGUUUACCACGGCCAGCUCUGAGCCCGCGCCUCCCAGGGCUGCCGCGCUGGUCCAGGCAUCUGUGCGUCUGGGUUUCUCUGUUUAUUUCUCCAGGAAACAACUGGGCCAAAGGCAGGGCUCCUUCCUCCUCCCCAGCUCCUGCUGCCUGUGCCAAGAUCUGAUAGGACGCAGAGAUAACGGGGUGGGGGGCGAUCCCUGCGGGGCAGAGCGUGCAGCUUUGAGUCUCCGCGGAGAAGCCCUGUCUUUGCUUCCAGCACCCACGGCGACCGCGCGUGUAGACAGAGCUGUGAUUACGGGGCAGCUGCAGCUUUGGCCGUCCGGCCUGUGUUCCUGCUUUUCUGCUCACGGCAACCGUGACUCCCUCACGGACCCCGAAGAGCCACCUUCCUCUGUUAGUCCAGGGCUGCAGUCGGACCUAAGCAGGGGUGGGGAACACCAGGUCCAUGUGUGGCCUGAGAGGUCAUUUGCUCCAAUCCUGCCAAGGCAACUGCAGGCAGCACUUGGGAUUCAACAACCCUAUAGCAGGCUAAUUUUUUAAAAAAAGAUAUUAUUUAAUUGAGAGGUAGAGUUACAGAGACAGAGAGAGAGGUCUUCCAUCCGCUGGUUCACUCCCCAAAUGGCCACAAUGGCCGGAGCUGGACCGACCCGAAGCCAGGAGCUUCUGGAGGGUCUCUCACGUGGAUACAGGGCCCAAGCACACUGGGCAGCUUCCACUGCCUUCCCAGGCCACAGCAGGGAGCUGGAUCGGAAGAGGAGCAGCCGGGACUCCAAGCGGCGCCCAUAUGGGAUGCCAGCACCACAGACAGAGGCUUAGGCUACUAUGCCACAGCACCGGCCCCCAUGUUUUUAAGAUUGAUUUUUAUUUAUUUAAAGGGCAGAGUUACAGAAAGAAAGGGGUGGGAGAGAGAGAAAGAGAGAGAGAUUUUCCAUCCCCUGACUCACUCCCUAAGUGGCUGCAACAGCCGAGGCUGGGCCAUGCUGAAGCCAGGAGCCUGGAACUUCCUCUGGGUCUCCCACAUGGGUGCAGGGGCCCCAGAAGUGGAGCAACCAGGACUCGAACAAGCACUCACGUGGGGUGACAGCACCGUGGGUAGCAGCUUAACCCACUGCACCGCCACACAGCCCCUAGCGUGCUGUUUGAGUCGAUACUUUUGUGUGGUCUGCAAGUGAUGCUGUAAAUCUCCAAAUGGCCCUUGGCAGAAAAAGUUCCCCUUCCCUAAGAGAAACUCCCGCCAGCCCUCCCGUAACAGGUGCACAGCCCAGGGCUGGCCCCUAAACUCAUCCCGCCCUCCAGCCUUGCUCCUGGCUCCAGAGUGGUCACGUGAUCCCGCUGAGCCCCUGUACAGCCCCCUCAAGACUCAGGGGGAAGGUGGGGGCUCUGCCUGCAUUGCUGAGAGCUGGGUGUGGGCGCUCAGCUGCCGGUGACCUCACCGCCACCGCGAGAGUGAAGACAGCAGAGGAGCGAAGCGGAGGGUGGGGAGACCCGGAUUUCGGAAGGUAAGGUUUGAGCUCCUGCAGCGCGGAGCCCCACAAUGUGAGGGUGAAGUCGUUCGUGCUGGGUCCAGAUCCACAUGCACCACGGACAGGUGGAUGAUGGAGAGACAGCCAGCCAGCCAUAAGGGAGUCGGGUGUGGUGGUGGUGUGCAAACUGGGCAGGACGAAGGAUGAGAGAACUCAGAGGACGAAGCAGUCUGGGACUUAGAC